AUUGAACGCUGGCGGCAGGCUUAACACAUGCAAGUCGAGCGGAGAGAGGUAGCUUGCUACUGAUCUUAGCGGCGGACGGGUGAGUAAUGCUUAGGAAUCUGCCUAUUAGUGGGGGACAACAUUUCGAAAGGAAUGCUAAUCCCGCAUAUGUCCUACGGGAGAAAGCAGGGGAUCUUCGGACCUUGCGCUAAUAGAUGAGCCUAAGUCGGAUUAGCUAGUUGGUGGGGUAAAGGCCUACCAAGGCGACGAUCUGUAGCGGGUCUGAGAGGAUGAUCCGCCACACUGGGACUGAGACACGGCCCAGACUCCUACGGGAGGCAGCAGUGGGGAAUAUUGGACAAUGGGCGCAAGCCUGAUCCAGCCAUGCCGCGUGUGUGAAGAAGGCCUUAUGGUUGUAAAGCACUUUAAGCGAGGAGGAGGCUACUUUAGUUAAUACCUAGAGAUAGUGGACGUUACUCGCAGAAUAAGCACCGGCUAACUCUGUGCCAGCAGCCGCCGUAA
rnacentral:rRNA from 1 species